GCACCUAUAAACCCUAUCCUUCCUGCUAACGAGAUGUGAUCUACAAAGGUAGCUCGGAAAUGUCACGUUCCUCAGUACUACCACGGUCCAGCUAGUCAGGGAAUAUCUAUGAGUACCCCAGCCUAAACACCACGUUUACGCUAGCAAUGAUUACUCUAAACUCUACGCGAAGAGAUUAAAGUAAACUCAUAAACCAUAAGAACAAUAAAACAAGAACUUACUAGAAUUUAGAAGUCGAAUUACUGAAGAAUCCGAGGAGCAAGCUUCGGGUUAGGAGAACUUGAUCCCGCAGGUACAAGCUUGGAGUAGACACCGACAGGCCGGGCUUCCUCCACUCUACACCUCCACUCUAUCUCUCUCAAUCUAGUAGAAACUAGAAGAUCUAUUUCUACCUUACAUUGAUUGCUAAGCCUAAAAAGAAAUAUUAAUUAGAGAAGAGGUUUUCCUUCGAGGGCACCCCUCAGUCUCUAUGAUAAUUUCUUCAUGUCUUCUCCAGGGGCCAGGGGGGCCUCGCUUAUAUAGUCCUCCCCUUCUAUGCGUUUUUGGGUCGAUAGCUGAGGUGGUACUAUGUUUUUCUUGAUUCAAUAGGUCGGUGGAAUAUCCCGAGUGAAGGAGUCCUGAAUUGGCUCCAACAGGGGGGCGGGCGCCCAGGCUACCAGGGCAGGCGCCCUGGGCCUGGCCCAGCUUCGCCUCAGCUUCGGUCUCGUGGCUUCUGGAGUCUUCUAGAUGAUGUAAAAUUGCGCGGUGCGUUGAUAUCUCUAUGUAAUCCCGACAUGUGGGCCUUUCUUCCUUAUUUCCUGGUAACCCCCUGCAGAAACAGAUAAACAACAAAACUCGUGGAAUUCUGUCAGAUCAAACCCUAAUUCUAGGUGAUGGUUGCAUAUUGGUCCUUUCUCUUGUUUAUUUGAUAAUUAAAAUUGAUACUUAAGAACCGUCAACAAAUACCCCCAUACUUAGGCUUUUACUCGUCCUCGAGAAAAGGAUGGUUAAGAACAAUAUCUGGGGUAAACAUUUAAAACAUUCUCUAUAUAAUUUGCAGGGUGUUAAAAUUCCACUGUGUACUGUAGUCAGGGAAGUAUAUGGUUAAGAGUAAAGAUUCUUUCUUUUCAAUCCUGUCACUUGGAGUUUUUGUAUAUUUUUGAAAGAAAGUUAGCAUACCUUUUGAUCCUCAUAGGUUCUCUCAGAUCACUCAUUAUCUCUUAUAUAUAUAUCUCACUGAGGCUGUUUUAUUUUGCAAAAAUUCUCAAGCAUACUUACUUUGGACUUAUUGCCUGAUCAAAACGGGAUCUGAGGAGGGAAAUGUCAUACUCUUAGAUCAAAGACUUUGGAAAUUAAAAACUUUGUCAACUCUUGCUGGCAUAUUGCUUAUUAGAGGGACCAUGGGCUAUCAUUUUUUUUCUCUUUUUUUUUAAGUGGAUACCGAGGUACCCCUAAUUCUACUGCCGGACACUUGUCCAUUUUUUCUGCGAGGUUGUCGAGCACUUGCUCCUUUUUAUUUCCUUGAAAUAUCUUCUAUUUUUGCUUAGCCCAUGCCUCUAAUGCAAUAAUACUUCGGAAGAGUGAAUCUAACUGAAAUAGUGUCUUGAUCUUAGAAGCAUGAUAAAUCUCUCAACAAGGGUCUAACUCAUUUUGAACAAACUCAAUACAGAGCAGAUAGCUUUUAUAAUCAUAUUUAAUAUUUCAGUUUUAUCAGGCAUAUAAAACACUGAGGAUGGUAGCUUGGAAUUUGAAUAUUUUGAAAUAAAUUCUCCAAGCAACAAUGAUAUCAAGAAUAAGAAACUCAUAGUCUACCAUCACAUAUUCCAUAUUGACUUAAGUAACACAGGGUUUUAAAAUAAUUUUAUAAUAAUUUGCAAGUUUUCAGGAAAUAUCACAGAUUGAGAUUAAUCAUGAUUAGAAAUAUUUUAAUCUUUUUAUUUUAUCAUGUCGGGAAAAAUAUUCUGCAUAAUCUAAAAUAUAUAUAUGUGUAAAGUAAAGUGUGCAGAGUGUGUACCUGAAUCGUGGAGUGGUGUAGUCGGAGUGUGUUUAGCAUGUCGAGGGAUCUCCCCCAUACUUGUUUUCUGCUUUCUUGCACAAAAAUAAAGUAGAGACACACAAGACAUAAUAAUAAUACUCUUUAUUGAUCUUGAGGCAUUUAUUACACAAGGAAGAACAAAAUUAUUUUUGGCUAUUCUCUCCCGGAUUAGGAGUAGAAUAUUUUUUGGGUGAUUCUGGAGAUGGAAAUGUAUGGAUAUAUGUGGAUGGUACUUCCGAAGUAGAAGUAGCAUGUGUGAGUGAACGUGCAAGUGAAUCUUGAUUUAACCACAUGACAAGCUCCUAAGGGUCUACACAGCUUGACCACACUCAAUGCUCAUAAGUAGUAAAAAGUAAAUGUGUGGCUCGAAGUCUAGCAAGCAUGUAUAUAUGGCUGUGGUAGGAAUUUAAACUCUCAUCAUACAGGAACUCAUCAUGCAACAUUUUAAAGAUUUCCAAAGAUAAAAUUCUCCAGAAUUCUAGCAUCUCUAGAAACAGAUAAACAGCAGCUCAACCUUCCCAUAUUAGAUUUCAGAUCAAGUUUUCAUCCCACAAGUUUAGGUCUAGAGCAAGCUUUAAAUUAUAACAGUUAUGUCUAAACUUGAGAGAGAACUUAAAAUGUGCCAAUUAGGCAGAGCAACUAUUCAUCAUUUCCAUGCUUGAGUUUUAUUUAGAUACAAAUUAGCAUAGCCACUUUAUUUAUUUAUUAAACACACUAAGCAAAAGACAUAUAUAUAUAAGCAUAAAAUCUUUAUUUGGUUUUUCAUAGUUAUGUAUAUUUAUAUUCUAAAAUAAUAUAAGUAUAAAGAUAGAUAGAUAGAAAUACUUAUCGAGAUAAAUGGGGUGCUCUCCCCCAAGCUGAAUUUUGACGUAAUUUCUCUUGAUGUAGCUAGCAGGUGGCAGAGGUGUAUUUGAAAGUCAGUAGCAUUGUGACAGCGAUUAGAAUAUCCUCCGUCUGCCAGUCUUCUUGAUUCUUAGAUUCUGUGGAGCUCAAAUAGACAACAAAGCUUGUGGAACUAAUUAAGUGUUAGCAUAAAUAUCUAGCCUUUAUCAUGUUGAGACUCCUUAAUAAUUAUUACUCCCUGUUUUUAUAUUUUUAUUUUAUAAAGCAGAAAAAAAAUUUUAUUUUAUUUUUAUGCCACCAUAGUGAAUGUAGUUAUGGGUUUUAUGCCACUCGUAUCCUCACAUGGGGCUUACUGUUUUUCACAUUUUAACUUUCUGUUUAGAACUUAAUUAACUAAGUGAACUACUUGAAAUAAUUGAAAGGGAAAGGAUAACUACCAAGUUUACCUCUUGGCAAGGCGUUCGGUGUUUUUAAGUCCUCCGAACGGGACACUCCUCCUUCUCAAUUAUCCUGAGGUUCGUUGGGUGGCGUAGUCGGUACUUCUGGCAGUGCCUCCUCUUCAUGUAUAGUUAUCUUCAUUUUCCACACCUGACUUGGUGCUUCGGUCUCCUCUGGAUAAUUCUG
rnacentral:lncRNA from 1 species